GGCCCGAUCAGGAGCGGACGUCCGCACUUUCGCUAAAGUGCGGACGUCGAUGCAGCAGCGGCUUCCAGGCGGCGGCGGAGGCACAUGGAUGGCCGGAGGGAGGCCGGAGGCGUCCCAGACCUCUUCUGGGCCGCGUUCAAGGUCGGAGGAGGUCGGGCUUGCCGGUUUCUGGGCAGCCACCUCACCUGCAGUUGCAGGUUUUGUGCAGCACCCCAGAACCAUCGCCGGCGACUCCACCGGACCGCAGACCCCUCCGCACGACCCUCAGUGUCCCUCCGGCAAGCCAAGCCGCGCCGUCGCCGCUCGAUUGAGGCCGGAGGAGCGACGUCCGCACUUUUUCUGAGUUGCGGACGUCCGCUCCCGAACGGCUUUCUAUAUAUAUAUAUAUAUAUAUAUUUGGUUUGAUGUA
rnacentral:lncRNA from 1 species